AACGAACGCUGGCGGCAUGCCUAACACAUGCAAGUCGAACGAGACCUUCGGGUCUAGUGGCGCACGGGUGCGUAACGCGUGGGAACCUGCCCUUAGGUUCGGAAUAACUCCCCGAAAGGGGUGCUAAUACCGGAUAAUGUCUUCGGACCAAAGAUUUAUCGCCUUUGGAUGGGCCCGCGUUGGAUUAGCUAGUUGGUAGGGUAAAAGCCUACCAAGGCGACGAUCCAUAGCUGGUCUGAGAGGAUGAUCAGCCACACUGGGACUGAGACACGGCCCAGACACCUACGGGAGGCAGCAGUGGGGAAUAUUGGACAAUGGGCGAAAGCCUGAUCCAGCAAUGACGCGUGAGUGAUGAAGGCCUUAGGGUUGUAAAGCUCUUUUACCCGGGAUGAUAAUGACAGUACCGGGAGAAUAAGCUCCGGCUAACUCCGUG
rnacentral:rRNA from 1 species